rnacentral:rRNA from 1 species
AGGACGAACGCUGGCGGCGUGCUUAACACAUGCAAGUCGAGCGGAAAGGCCCUUCGGGGUACUCGAGCGGCGAACGGGUGAGUAACACGUGAGUAAUCUGCCCCUAGCUCUGGGAUAGCUCCGGGAAACCGGGAUUAAUACCGGAUACGACCACCUUAGACAUCUUUUGUGGUGGAAAGAAUUUCGGCUAGGGAUGAGCUCGCGGCCUAUCAGCUUGUUGGUGGGGUAACGGCCUACCAAGGCGACGACGGGUAGCCGGCCUGAGGGGCGACCGGCCACACUGGGACUGAGACACGGCCCAGACUCCUACGGGAGGCAGCAGUGGGGAAUAUUGCGCAAUGGGCGAAAGCCUGACGCAGCGACGCCGCGUGGGGGAUGAAGGCCUUCGGGUUGUAAACCCCUUUCAGCAGGGACGAAGCGAAAGUGACGGUACCUGCAGAAGAAGCGCCGGCUAACUACGUGCCAGCAGCCGC